rnacentral:lncRNA from 1 species
AGAAUUUCCAGCAAGUCCAACCCCCCCCUCCAACCACUGUAUCUGGAUUGUUCAGGAAUAUGAAGACCUAAAAAAAGAAAACAAGUAUCUGUCUAACGAAAUUCACAUGGAAAGGAUCAUGAUGAGGACUGAGAGUGAGCAUACCAUGAGAAACCUGCGCAAUCUCAACCAGGACCUCCGGACCCAAGUUAAAGAGGUGUGUUACACAUAAGACAUCACAGAAGAUGCAGAGGAACAAAAAAUAAUGGUUCUGUCCCUUUUUUUUUCUUUAUAAUAAAUUAGUUGAAACAGACACUUCAUGUCAGCCAGCAGAGGGCGACACUGUGUUCCAGGGCAGCUGAGGAUGCUCAUAGAGGACGAACAGAGGCGGACAAGACAAGGGCACUGGCGGAGGCCCGGGCUCUGGACAGCAGGCAAGAAAAAGAUCUCGCAGUGGUUGACAAAACACGACUCAGUGAAGAACUACAUCUGCUGAAAAAAGAGCACAGUGGUGUCCAGCUACUUUUAGCUCAAGUUGAAAAGAAUUACUUCGAGAGCAAGCUUAAACUAGACAGGGUGUCAGGAGAAAAGCAGGCUCUCCUGGAGGAGAACACAAUACUGGAGGAUGAGAGGAACAUGUUACGACACAAACUGAAGGAGCUGACUGAGGAGAAUGUGAAGAUAAUGGAAAAGGAGGUGAACUCCAGACGCAGAGCUCUGGUUGCUGAAGAGCAGAGAGAAAGGGCCAAUAAAGCCCAGCAGGAGGCUGAGCAGGAAAGACAUUUAGUUGAGCGGGAGAGGGAAGAUCGCAACAGCGAGUGUCUCAGCUGGAGAGAGAAGCACCAGGCUCUGGCAGAAGUCAUCAGAAGCCAGGAAGAACUUAAGUCUCUCCGGCAGACCAAAGCAUGUCAAGCUAAUAUUAAGAGCUACUUCCUGUGCAUGACUGAAAGCGACCAGAGGGUUAGGAUCCUAAAAAAUCGAGAUGGCACUCCAAGGAACUUCCCGGAAGGAGACCCUGUGUACAUCUCCACACCUGACCUCAACAGUGAGGAUUCAGAGAAGAGCUCAGGGAGGUAGGUCUUAUUCUU